rnacentral:rRNA from 1 species
ACGAACGCUGGCGGCGUGCCUCAUCCCUGCAAGUAGAACGCACAGUUUAUACCGUAGCUUGCUACACCAUAGACUGUGAGUUGCGAACGGGUGAGUAACGCGUAGGUAACCUGCCUGGUAGCGGGGGAUAACUAUUGGAAACGAUAGCUAAUACCGCAUAAUAUUAAUUAUUGCAUGAUAAUUAAUUGAAAGGUGCAAUUGCACCACUACCAGAUGGACCUGCGUUGUAUUAGCUAGUAGGUGAGGUAACGGCUCACCUAGGCGACGAUACAUAGCCGACCUGAGAGGGUGAUCGGCCACACUGGGACUGAGACACGGCCCAGACUCCUACGGGAGGCAGCAGUAGGGAAUCUUCGGCAAUGGACGAAAGUCUGACCGAGCAACGCCGCGUGAGUGAAGAAGGUUUUCGGAUCGUAAAGCUCUGUUGUAAGAGAAGAACGGGUGUGAGAGUGGAAAGUUCACACUGUGACGGUAUCUUACCAGAAAGGGACGGCUAACUACGUG